rnacentral:lncRNA from 1 species
AUUACUUUACUUGUGGGACACAAUUCUCACACCCUUCGCCUAACAAAAUCACAAAAACACUGAACACUACGUAAAAAGAAGACUAAACACCAACAACUCCAAUAUUAUCCAAAAAUAAAUCCAAUCUAAAAUAAUAGAGAAAAAAUUUAAUGAACUUACACCAAACUUUGAACCACGAUCAAAGGACAAAACUCGCACACGAACACAUGAAACAAAUGGAACAACAACAAAGAAAAUAAUAGCUAAGAAAGAAUUUCUAAAGUGAGAAAGGAAAGGAGAAAAAGAGAAUAAAGAGAAACCAAAAGAAAGAAAAGAAAAGAAAUGUGGGGGAACGAGGUGGACGGUUGGGAGUGGGAGCAAACUUAGGGGUAGUUUUUUUUUUUUAAAUUCACUAUAAGAUAAAAAUUAAAUGUGAUAUUCAAUCAAAAUCAAAUAAGCUUUAUUAGAAUUUGAAGACAACCCAAUUUCUAACACAUGGCAAGAAACAAAAAUAAUUCCCAUAUUGCAUAUACAGAUAUUUG